GGUAGCCUAGUGGUUAGAGCCUAGUGGUUAGAGCCUAGUGGUUAGUAUGGUGCGGCAGGUAGCCUAGUGGUUAGAGUCUAGUGGUUAGAGCCUAGUGGUUAGUAUGGUGCGGCAGGUAGCCUAGUGGUUAGGGCCUAGUGGUUAGAGCCUAGUGGUUAGAGUCUAGUGGUUAGAGCCUAGUGGUUAGUAUGGUGCGGCAGGUAGCCUAGUGGUUAGAGUCUAGUGGGUAGAGCCUAGUGGUUAGUAUGGUGCGGCAGGUAGCCUAGUGGUUAGGGCCUAGUGGUUAGAGCCUAGUGGUUAGUAUGGUGCGGCAGGUAGCCUAGUGGUUAGGGCCUAGUGGUUAGAGUCUAGUGGGUAGAGCCUAGUGGUUAGUAUGGUGCGGCAGGUAGCCUAGUGGUUAGAGCCUAGUGGUUAGAGCCUAGUGGUUAGAGCCUAGUGGUUAGUAUGGGGCGGCAGGUAGCCUAGUGGUUAGGGCCUAGUGGUUAGAGCCUAGUGGUUAGAGCCUAGUGGUUAGAUCUAACCUAGUGGUUAGAGCCUAGUGGUUAGAGCCUAGUGGUUAGGGCCUAGUGGUUAGGGCCUAGUGGUUAGAGCCUAGUGGUUAGUAUGGGGCGGCAGGUAGCCUAGUGGUUAGAGCCUAGUGGUUAGAGCCUAGUGGUUAGUAUGGUGCGGCAGGUAGCCUAGUGGUUAGAGUCUAGUGGUUAGAGCCUAGUGGUUAGUAUGGUGCGGCAGGUAGCCUCGUGGUUAGAGUCUAGUGGGUAGAGCCUAGUGGUUAGUAUGGUGCGGCAGGUAGUCUAGUGGGUAGAGCCUAGUGGUUAGUAUGGUGCGGCAGGUAGUCUAGUGGUUAGAGCCUAGUGGUUAGUAUGGUGCGGCAUGUAGCCUCGUGGUUAGAGUCUAGUGGUUAGUAUGGUGCAGCAGGUAGUCUAGUGGGUAGAGCCUAGUGGUUAGUAUGGUGCGGCAGGUAGCCUAGUGGGUAGAGUCUAGUGGUUAGUAUGGUGCAGCAGGUAGCCUAGUGGGUAGAGCCUAGUGGUUAGUAUGGUGCGGCAGGUAGCCUAGUGGGUAGAGCCUAGUGGUUAGUAUGGUGCAGCAGGUAGUCUAGUGGGUAGAGCCUAGUGGUUAGAGUCUAGUGGUUAGAGCCUAGUGGUUAGAGUCUAGUGGUUAGUAUGGUGCGGCAGGAAGCCUAGUGGUUAGGGCCUAGUGGUUAGAGCCUAGUGGUUAGUAUGGUGCGGCAGGUAGCCUAGUGGUUAGGGCCUAGUGGUUAGAGCCUAGUGGUUAGUAUGGUGCGGCAGGUAGCCUAGU